UGGUAUGCUCUUUUUAUUGUGUGUUUAAAUUUUGUUUGGUUUCGUUUUUUAGUAUCUACUUUUAAGGUAGAAUUUUUCAAGUUUCAAGUUUUCAAGUUUUGAAAUAGGUAACACUCUCCUAAAAGAUAUCCAGCAGCAAUGCUCCUCAAGAGAAUCUUGAAACUGCUGGGGAAGAGUCCAGAAAUUUGGGGACAUCUGAACUGCGGUCAAAAUUUGAACAGGUAAAAACAUAAUUAGAAAGGAAAAUUUUCGCUUUCGAAUUGCGGUCUGUUUCUAGAACUAGGGGGGAUUUUAAGCUCUUUUACAGCUAAUGUCAUCACACUUGGACGAUAUCACAAGGGUUUUUCAAUAAUGAGAAAAGAAUGAUUUUUUAGGUAAGAAAUAAAUUUUGACUGAACGUCUCUCUAAUAAUGUGUCUCCCGCUGUGAUUUUGACCGCAGUUUAAACAGAGAGUCCGGAUAGGCUAAAACACUUUGCACCGUAAUUCGGUGGUACCGAGAAAUUUUUGCUCAACAUUUGGGGGGAUUGAUAAUGAGACAAUAAUCAAUAAUCUGAUUCCAAAAUAAAGUAAAAGAAGUUCAAACAAAAAAUUUACACGAUAAAUUCUUCGCAACAGUUGUUUGGGCUAAAGAAGGACUUUUGCAAUUAAGGUUUAUAUUACCUGAGACGAUCAUAUCAAAAGGAAACGAUGCAAAAUAUUCUAAAGUUUUGCGUGAUUCUAUCAACUUGAAAAGGCAUGAAAUCUACACAUCAAAUGUACUGCUCUUUCAUGAAAACCAACUAGAGCAUAUAUUAGCAAAUGUACAGGUCGCCAUCUAAAUCUUUAUAUUUUGUUGGCAACUAUCUUGAACGGCAGRAUUUUUUAAGAAUGCAGGAGCUACCAGUCAAAAAUGUAAAAAUCAAAUCCAUUUACUUAGUACCUACUUUUAGUUAUUGCUAUCAUAAUGUGUGGUACAAUUUUGUUAAAUUCAUAAAUAAACAAUUUAAGUCCA